rnacentral:rRNA from 1 species
UACGGAGGUCCCAAGCGUUGUUCGGAUUCAUUGGGCGUAAAGGGUGCGUAGGCGGUGCCGUAAGUCGGAUGUGAAAUCUCGGGGCUCAACCCUGAAACUGCAUUCGAUACUGCGGUGUUAGAGGACUGGAGAGGAAACUGGAAUUCACGGUGUAGCAGUGAAAUGCGUAGAUAUCGUGAGGAAGACCUGUGGCGAAGGCGGGUUUCUGGACAGUACCUGACGCUGAGGCACGAAGGCCAGGGGAGCAAACGGG